GUCCUUCUUAGCCACGGAGGACGUCACGGGUGGCUGAGGAGGCCGCCCAGUGGGACAGCACAGAGUGGCUGUGGGGGUUGGGGGGGCGCUGGCUGAGGGCGGCCCCUUUGCUGGUGGUCAAGGCAGAGCUCUGAGGCUCGUCCUGAACCUCCCUUUGCAUUCUGCCUCUCCGCUCCUUUGAAGCUUUGCGCUGAGCUGCUUCAUUGCUCGAAGCCCGGGUUUUCUCAUCUGCCCAGUGGAGAGGACACUACAACCGGCUUUAGGAACAGAGGCCCUGGGCUGUGGGCCCUGCCCAGUGUCCCGGCCUCCUCUGCUGGACUGGAGCAAACACUGGACUUGGUGGUGCACAUGUCAAGGUCAGGCCACCCAGGAGAACACAGAGCUCAACAGGGUCACAGCUACGAGAACUUUAUCUGCAGUUCAGUUGCCACAGUGAGCCCUUCUCCGGAAACACAGUCCUUGACAGUCCCAGUGAUGCUGAGAGGCUGACGCAGCCAUCAGAGUCCAGGAGGGCGGCACAUGGAGCUGUCACUUGCUGAACACCCACCACAUGCUCAGCCUGUGCAGGCCAUGUCUCUGCCCCUGAACUCCUCUGACGCUCAUCACAGGCACCUUCCAGAUGAGGAAACUGAGGCAUGAACAGCAAAGUGACUGCUCUAGCUGCUAGGUGGCAGAGCUGGGAUAUUCAACCCAGGUUGAUCUGGUUCCCAGGUGAGUUCCAAGCAAUUCACUGACAAAGAGAAAUAGGUACGUCCAGCAGAUGGGACCUUUUGUGGC
rnacentral:lncRNA from 1 species